UUCUCCAAUGUCUAGGGCCUUGUUUUUUUUCCAAAAUGUGCAUCACUAAAGCUAAUAAAGCUUCUUGAAGUCGCUUGGUUCGAGCUCGAUUCAUGGGACACUUUGGAAGCUCGAUAGGAUCUGAUAUGCACUUGAGGAUGCCCCGGGUGUGCAUACAUCGGGAUAAAGCCAUAUACUACCUCAAAAGGAGAAUGUUUUGUGGCUAAAUGAAUAGUCCGGUUAUAGGCGAACUCCACAUGAGGUAAAUACUCCUCCC
rnacentral:lncRNA from 1 species